rnacentral:rRNA from 1 species
UACGUAGGGGGCAAGCGUUAUCCGGAUUUACUGGGUGUAAAGGGAGCGUAGACGGCUUUGUAAGCCAGAUGUGAAAGCCCGGGGCUCAACCCCGGGACUGCAUUUGGAACUGUAUGGCUGGAGUGUCGGGGAGGCAGGCGGAAUUCCUAGUGUAGCGGUGAAAUGCGUAGAUAUUAGGAGGAACACCAGUGGCGAAGGCGGCCUGCUGGACGAUGACUGACGUUGAGGCUCGAAAGCGUGGGGAGUAAACAGG